rnacentral:rRNA from 1 species
GAUGAACGCUGGCGGCGUGCCUAAUACAUGCAAGUCAAGCGAACGGACGAGAAGCUUGCUUCUCUGAUGUUAGCGGCGGACGGGUGAGUAACACGUGGAUAACCUACCUAUAAGACUGGGAUAACUUCGGGAAACCGGAGCUAAUACCGGAUAAUAUUUUGAACCGCAUGGUUCAAAAGUGAAAGACGGUCUUGCUGUCACUUAUAGAUGGAUCCGCGCUGCAUUAGCUAGUUGGUAAGGUAACGGCUUACCAAGGCAACGAUGCAUAGCCGACCUGAGAGGGUGAUCGGCCACACUGGAACUGAGACACGGUCCAGACUCCUACGGGAGGCAGCAGUAGGGAAUCUUCCGCAAUGGGCGAAAGCCUGACGGAGCAACGCCGCGUGAGUGAUGAAGGUCUUCGGAUCGUAAAACUCUGUUAUUAGGGAAGAACAUAUGUGUAAGUAACUGUGCACAUCUUGACGGUACCUAAUCAGAAAGCCACGGCUAACUACGU